GCGGAGAAAGAGCCGAGGCGCCGGCGACCGAGGCAGCGGAGGACCCUCGCGGCGCCGGCUCCAGAUCCGCGAACUCCGCGGGGCUGACCGGGGCGCGUCCGAGCCUCGCCGCCGCCGCCGCCCUUCGGGUCCCCCCGAUCGCACCCGCGUGGGAACUGCCAUCCCUUCGGCCUGCGGGGCGGCGGCAGCGGCGGCAGCAUCCCAGCCCCGGGCGCCGGGCAGGAAGGGAGGCGGCGGCGGCCGGCGGGGCGCGACCCCCGCGCGGGUCUCAACAAUGGUGCGCGACGCUCGGGCGAUCCCCGCGUCCGCCCCGCGGCCGUAGAGGAAGCGGCCGGGAGACGCCCCCCGCCCCCAGCUCGCCCGAGUUUGCUCGGCUGGCCUCCCGGGCUGGGGCUCCCGCUCGCCAGCGCCCAGGGCGGCUCAGCCCGGAGCAUGGUGCCGGCGCCCGGCUCGCUCUAAUCGCUCCUCUCCCUCCUCCUCUCGCUCCUCCCGUCGCUCCGGUCCCUCCCGUCCCUCCCGCGGGUGCUGCCUCUGGCUUCUCUGCGAGAGGGAGUUACAACUCUCUGCUUCUCCACGGAGACUGGCCGGUGACCACCCGACAAGAACUUGCCCAUUGGAAAGCAAGCCCGGAACAGCCGGAGAAUGUCCACCCCGAGCAGAUUCAAGAAGGACAAAGAGAUCAUAGCCGAGUAUGAAAGUCAAGUCAAAGAAAUCCGAGCCCAGCUGGUAGAACAACAAAAAUGCCUGGAGCAGCAGACAGAGAUGCGAGUUCAGCUGCUCCAGGACCUACAAGAUUUCUUCCGGAAAAAAGCCGAAAUUGAGACGGAAUAUUCUCGGAACCUGGAGAAGCUGGCAGAAAGGUUCAUGGCCAAAACAAGAAGCACUAAGGACCAUCAACAGUUCAAGAAAGACCAAAACCUGUUGUCUCCAGUGAACUGCUGGUAUUUGCUCCUGAACCAAGUGAGAAGAGAGAGCAAAGACCACGCCACUUUGAGUGACAUCUAUCUGAACAAUGUCAUCAUGCGGUUCAUGCAGAUAAGCGAGGACUCCACCCGGAUGUUUAAAAAGAGCAAAGAGAUUGCGUUCCAGCUUCACGAGGACCUCAUGAAGGUUCUGAAUGAGCUCUACACGGUGAUGAAAACCUACCACAUGUACCACUCAGAGAGCAUCAGUGCAGAGAGUAAGCUGAAAGAAGCCGAGAAACAAGAGGAGAAGCAGAUUGGGAGGUCCGGCGACCCAGUCUUCCACAUUAGGCUGGAAGAGAGGCAUCAGAGGCGGAGCUCUGUGAAGAAAAUUGAAAAAAUGAAGGAAAAGAGACAAGCAAAAUAUUCAGAAAAUAAGCUGAAAUCGAUCAAAGCCCGCAACGAGUAUCUCCUAACACUUGAAGCAACCAACGCCUCCGUGUUCAAGUAUUACAUCCAUGAUCUUUCAGACUUAAUAGACUGCUGUGAUCUCGGCUACCAUGCAAGUCUGAACAGAGCCCUCAGAACGUACCUCUCGGCGGAGUACAACCUUGAAACCUCCAGACACGAAGGCUUAGACAUCAUUGAAAACGCUGUGGACAAUUUAGAGCCCAGGAGUGACAAGCAGAGGUUCAUGGAGAUGUACCCUGCGGCAUUCUGCCCGCCAAUGAAAUUCGAGUUUCAGUCUCACAUGGGUGAUGAGGUGUGUCAGGUCAGCGCCCAGCAGCCCGUCCAGGCGGAGCUCAUGCUCAGGAACCAACAGCUGCAGUCCCGACUGGCCACACUCAAGAUCGAGAGCGAGGAGGUCAAGAAAACGACAGAAGCCACCCUCCAGACGAUCCAAGAUAUGGUCACCAUUGAGGACUAUGAUGUGUCUGAGUGUUUCCAGCACAGCCGAUCCACAGAGUCUGUGAAGUCCACUGUGUCAGAAACCUACCUGAGUAAACCCAGCAUCGCCAAGAGACGAGCCAACCAGCAAGAAACGGAGCAGUUCUACUUCAUGAAACUUCGAGAGUUCCUGGAAGGCAGUAACCUCAUCACAAAGCUGCAGGCUAAGCAUGACUUGCUGCAGAGGACUCUUGGAGAAGGCCAUAGAGCUGAAUAUAUGACUACAAGGCCUCCAAACGUCCCCCCUAAGCCCCAGAAACACAGGAAGUCCAGGCCCCGCUCCCAGUAUAAUGCUAAGUUGUUUAAUGGGGAUUUGGAGACAUUCGUCAAGGUACAGCACCUGCCACCAGCCGGUGGCUGACCUCCAUGCUUCUCAUUAUAAUGGCCUCAGCCUCCCGUGAAGGAGGCCGGUCAUUAUGUCCUGGGGCUCUUCAAUUCCCCAGAAAAAUCAAUAUAAUAUUUCCUGAAGUCAGAGGGAGAGAAGAUUGGGAGUGAGAGCCUUCUGAAGAAAAUUAAUGAAUGUGGAUGUUAUCAUGUGGCAAAAGAAAGAGUACUCUUUUCUUUUUCCAAGCCAAAAAUUGAAGGAAAAGGAAAAAGAUAAACAAGAUAAAAUAUUUUCUUGAGUUGUGCAGAUGAGACGGCACGGUGUACAUCCGUGUUUAAGCACACUCUCGUGACUUAAGGAAUUCAUUAUAUUGGAUACAUUUUGUACAGCCUUGAAGUCUGUAUCUUGUAUCUCUGCCGUGUUUACUCUCUCUCUUCUUUCUCAUCCUGUAUUUCUGAUAAUGCUUCUAGCCGGGGACGAAGGAACUCUCACGCAAGACAUCAGGACUCAGGCCAGGUUAUCCCUCUCAUUGUGGAAAGCUGCAUCCGAUUCAUUAAUCUCUAUGGCCUUCAGCACCAGGGGAUUUUCAGAGUGUCUGGCUCCCAGGUGGAAGUGAACGAUAUCAAGAAUUCUUUCGAGAGAGGUGAGAACCCUCUGUCCGAUGAGCAGAGCAACCACGAUAUCAACUCGGUGGCCGGCGUGCUGAAGCUGUACUUCCGAGGGCUGGAAAACCCCCUCUUUCCUAAGGAAAGGUUUACUGACCUGAUUUCCUGUAUCAGAAUAGAUAACCUCUAUGAGAGGGCGCUCCACAUCCGCAAACUCCUCCUGACCUUGCCCAGGUCGGUCCUUAUAGUGAUGAGGUACCUGUUUGCCUUCCUCAAUCACCUCUCCCAGUACAGUGACGAGAACAUGAUGGACCCUUACAAUCUGGCCAUUUGCUUCGGCCCAACACUGAUGCCGGUUCCAGAGAUACAGGACCAAGUGUCUUGCCAGGCACACGUGAACGAGAUUGUGAAGACCAUCAUCAUCCAUCACGAGACUAUUUUCCCAGAUGCUAAAGAACUGGACGGCCCCGUGUAUGAGAAAUGCAUGGCCGGAGGCGACUACUGCGACAGCCCCUACAGUGAGCAUGGUACAUUGGAGGAGGUGGACCAAGACGCCGGCACAGAGCCCCACACCAGUGAAGACGAGUGUGAGCCCAUCGAAGCCAUAGCCAAGUUUGACUACGUCGGGCGGUCAGCUAGAGAGCUGUCCUUCAAGAAGGGUGCAUCCCUGCUGCUGUAUCACCGAGCCUCCGAGGAUUGGUGGGAAGGCAGACACAACGGGAUCGAUGGCCUUGUGCCUCAUCAGUACAUAGUUGUGCAAGAUAUGGACGAUACAUUUUCAGACACGCUGAGCCAAAAGGCCGACAGCGAAGCCAGCAGCGGGCCAGUCACUGAAGACAAGUCCUCAUCCAAGGACAUGAACUCCCCGACUGACCGCCAUUCUGAUAGCUAUUUAGCCAGACAAAGAAAGAGAGGAGAGCCACCCCCUCCGGGAAGACGUCCCGGCAGGACCAGCGAUGGCCAUUGUCCCCUGCAUCCCCCGCAUGCUCUGUCUAACUCCUCAAUUGAUCUGGGAUCCCCAAACCUAGCCAGUCACCCCAGGGGCCUGUUGCAGAACCGUGGCCUCAAUAAUGACAGUCCUGAGAGGCGGCGCCGGCCGGGCCACGGCAGCCUGACCAAUAUCAGCCGGCAUGACUCCCUCAAGAAGAUCGACAGCCCUCCUAUCCGGAGGUCCACAUCAUCAGGGCAGUACACAGGCUUCAAUGACCACAAGCCACUGGACCCCGAGACGAUUGCUCAGGAUAUUGAGGAGACCAUGAACACUGCUUUGAACGAACUCCGUGAACUCGAGAGGCAGAGCACAGUGAAGCACGCCCCCGAUGUCGUGCUAGACACUUUGGAGCAAGUGAAGAACUCGCCCACCCCUGCGACUUCCACAGAAUCACUCAGCCCACUGCACAAUGUCGCCCUCAGGGGCUCAGAGCCACAGAUUCGCCGGAGCACCAGCUCCUCCAGCGAGACAAUGAGUACUUUCAAGCCUAUGGUGGCGCCCCGGAUGGGCGUCCAGCUGAAGCCCCCAGCCCUUAGGCCAAAGCCUGCUGUUCUUCCAAAAACAAACCCUACGAUGGGACCUGCCGCACCUUCCCAGGGUCCCACAGACAAGUCUUGCACGAUGUAAAAACAAAGGUCACGAGGGGAGGGGGGAUGUCUGAAGAUGAAAAUGAAUUAGUGGCAAGAGUGGGUGAUCCACAACCUUCCUUGGUCUUGCGCUUAUAACUGGAGAGUUUGGCUUUUCUAUGUUGUGUCGAAUGUAAUGAUGUCUGGGACUAGCUAAAUUAACAUGGGCAUUUGUAUUUUGUAAUUUUUUUUAAUAACUGGACAUUAUCGUCGUUUUAAAGACAAUAGAAACACUUAGACUUACUUGAAAAAUCCAAUGCUGCACCCUUGUAAUGAAGGCAACACCUCACCCAACACUGCGUAUGGCUUCAGAUUUAGUGUAGCCCAGGUGAGUGUCCCAGAAGCAAGAGAACCCAAAUCCCAGGUCUUACUGGAGUGUCAUCACCUGCCACGCAUGAUCUGUGACACUUGUGGGAUGAGCACUCGUUGCCUAGCAACCGACAACAAGCACCUCUAACCCUGUCCAGAGUAGCAGCCCGCACCUGAUGAAGGUCACAGAAGGAGGCUCCUGUGGGACCUUCAGUUCAUGGCUUGAAGGAGUUCAGUGGUGGACCCUUCCAUAAAACUCAUCUCCCUGGAUCCAGGUUAAAGACUCAGUGGAAGUGUGUAGAAGAUACUCGGACAUUGCUUGAACUGAAGCUAGAAGAGGCUGUAAGGGAAACUGUCUCCAUGCCUGUUGACAUGGUUCCCUCAAAGAACUCGAUCGGCCCCGGAGAAGUCCAAGUCCACCCCCCACACACACACUUACAAUGGACUAGAGCAGCCGAGUCAUAAGGACUUUCUGGUUACACCACAAACUCCUGCAGAUGUUUUCAAUAACUGCCUGAGAAAUAUGUCUGCCUUCCCCUACUCCCCCCUGCAACCAGACAGGAAAUGAAUCCUUGGUUCCUUUAUGCCACAAAGGCCCAGUGGUCCCCAAUCGGAAGCCCCAGCUCUGCUAGCCACAGCUCUCUCUGAGCCAAGCCAGAUCUGGCUACUGUACUGAGCGAGAGCCAUGUGAGGCCACCAUGGGAAGACGACCUUGUGGCGCCGGGAUGGUGCCUUCCCAGUUUUGUACCUCAGAAUCAUGACUUCUGUUCUCCUCCUGUUUGUGUUUGCCUUUUGAAUUUUGCAUUAUAAUCUCUACAGACCUCCUGUAGUCCAGUGGGCUCCACUGGGGACCUCUUUCCCUGGUAUUUUAGCAUAUAGCCAUUUUUCUUUAUCAUAUAUACUAUAUUUUUCCUCUAUCUUAAAAAAAAUAUGAUAGAUUUGUGUUUGUUUGGUUCUGGGGACUGACAGGGACUGCUUGCAUGCUAAGUAUACACUACCACUGAGCUGUACAUCCCAGCUCUUGCCCCUCCCCCCCAAGAUCAUUCUGGACACAACUGUUUUCAUUAAGAUACAAAUCACAAUUUUCCUAGCCGUAGCACCCGAACUUCCUGAUGAGGCAAACAGAGGGCUCAAAGCAAACCCCUUGGGACCCACCCACCAUUAAUUACCUUCUAGGUUUAAUUUCAAACUGGUGGUGCUGAUUGCAUUUGCAUGCCCACCUAAGAGUAGCACAGCACUGACAAUAACUCCUGCAGAAACCAACCAAGACCUGCGCUAAAGUCAAGGUCAUGACCCAUGGCUACCUCAGUUUGCCAGUAUAGUCAUUCCACUGCAGGAAAAAAUAUUGAUGAACUAUUCCCUUUCCAAGCCACUCUCCUCAUUUCACAAAUGUACCGAAGACAUACUCCCUACCCCCAGGUACUUCAAGUAUGGUAAAGUUUUAAACCUCAAAUUUUUCAGAACCAUUCUUUCUGACCAUUUUGCAAAAGAAGCCAUGGAGACCCAGCCAGGACUGCCCUUUGACUGACAAUGACUGCUGGUCUCUUUGGAAGUUUACUAUCUCCUAAAGGAACCCACCACUUAUUUAGAAAACAAUAACGAUUCUUAGAACCAUUUUUCCUUGACGGAUGAUACCAACAGGAGGCAGGAGAAACUGGCCGCCUUUUGAGUUCAUUUAUAAAGGCUUUUCUUAAGCUUAAUUUUAGCUUUUCAGAUCUUCCUUAGACAGCUCCCAGGCAAUCCCCUCCACCCACCUCCCCCCACCCCCCCCAGUCCAAGGCCUUCAGUGCUCCACCUAUAACUUUCUACCCCUAGGUCAGGACUCUGCUGCCUUGAAUAACAAAGGCCAUGCUUUUGUACUGCCAGGGCCUCUUCCUCUAGGAAAUGGCUCCUGGUUGACUCCAUCGCUCCUGUAUCUUCCUCAUCUUCUCUCCUGUACCUACUGUCAUUUCCAGGCUCACUUUGGUCUCAAAUGAAAGCAAAGAGUGUAGACGGUCUCCAGGUAAGCACCUUAACACUUAACAGUUAAGUCUCCUUUCUCAGAGAUGGCUCAACAGGCCUGUUUUCCCCCACCACUCUGACUUUGGUACCCUUUGAGCCAUGCACACAAUAGCUUAAGGUAAGGCAUCCCCCCUGCACAGAGGAUCCUAGAAACUGUCCGUCAAGCUCCCUAAAAGCUGCAGCCAUGGAAAAGGGUCGGCUUGCAGGGCCUGGUUUGAAACACAGAUGUAGCACAGCAGGAAGGUACAAGGAAACGAACCCCAAGGUGCUCUCACUUCUCCCUCAUUUCCAGGUCUCACGGUCCAUACAUACGUAGUUUAGAGAUAGGAGCAAAUGACUGUCAGCCGAGAUACCCGUCUCCACAUGCACUAAAGAUUCGUAGCUGAUAGAACCACGCGGUUUGCACCCCUGAUGGAGGUUUUGCAAAGCCCUGUGGUGUGUGUUUCGAGUUUGAGGUGUGGAUUGCUAGGACAUGGUGCUCAUUCUCUAGAGAGUGUCACAUAAACUUCUGAGGGCACUGUGUAAACCUUGAGUUCUUGUCACAAGCCACACCAUUGUUCAACAGUUUUCCUUGUGUUCACUCAACAUAAUCUGACGCCCAGUGCCCCACGAGCCAGCCACAGGACAAUUCAUAGUUGAGGUCUCACUCAUUCAACUACCAUAGUCAUGAGUAAAUACCAGUGGAUAAAGAGUUCCCAAGGGUCAGAUGGUCUCUCUUGAGUUUUCUGUCUCUGCAUUUGCCAGUCUCCAAGUGGCUCUAUAGUUUAACUAAGAAGCUGGGUUGGUAGUAGUGGCCUUAGCAUUUUGGAAUGCUCAGUCUCUGACGUCUACAUGCUGAAGGAAUCGUGAUCUAACAUCUGAAACCCAACAGUAAGGAGGCCAUGAGUCCAUUGAGAGUCUAUUUGGGUUGAUUUUUUUUUUCCUGGCCACAGUAGAAAAGACCAUGAAUGCAGGAACUGCAUGUGGGACGCCAUCUCUGGUAUCUGCCACUGAGACUCUGGAACACAGAGAGCCUCAAAGUGCAAAUAGAACCUCCUUCUUAAGACUGACCCCUGAGCUGAGAGCCCCCCACUCCCCCAAGCUCCAGCAGGCUGGAGCCUCAGGCUUGCAGCGGAUGACUUUGGCACAGACUGUAAAGCCAGAGACUGAGUUUCACCCAUCCUAAUAUACUUUAUUUAAAAAAAAAAAAAAAAAGUCUCAGUGGUAUAGUCACAAUGGGUAACUAACUGUAUCUUUAAAUUACAUAGGGAAUUUUGUUGUAUGUUUAAAUACCCGUACCCAGUUCCAUAUUGCUUAUCUUAGAAACUAGUAAAAGAAAACUAUAUAAACCGUGUGUUUGUGGAUGCCCCUCUGUAGAGCGUUCACUUAGGUUCCGUGUGUAGUGUGACGGUGAUCGUAGAUAUCGACAGCGUAGUAGGUGGCCGAGUCACAGGAGAGAUUGCUCUGUCCCUGCAUUCUGAACGUUAACUCCCGCCCACGUAAAUAAACCAGUAUUGUCCUUUCCUGUCGGUUUGGUCAGUUGCAGUACCGGUAGCUUUCUGCUUGUGACGGUUACCUAAGUGUGUCAAUGUACAUCUGUAGUAUGUACAUGUGAAAGUGCCUUCCUACCUUAGCGUUUAGCCUAGCUCUUGGACUGUGGCCCACUAGGUCCCGCCCACUUCCUUCAUUUCCAGCCACGCCCCACAGUGUUCUGAAACCCCCUCCGCUCCUUCCCAGCCUCUCCCCACCCCCAUCAUCCUCCCGUGCCUCUGUCACGUGCAUCUCGCAUCCACGUGGAUUACCGCACUGUCUUGUUGCCCUCCUAGACGUGACUGUGCCUUUCUCACCCCGCUGUGACUCCCUGCCGUCUGAUCCAACCUUCCCACCCACAGUGCCACUGCCAUCCUGUCCCUUGCUCUGUACCGGUUCUCUCUGAGGUGAGGAGAAAAGUGAUGCUUUUACAGUCCUGGAAGAAAUGAUGAUGUUUUGUUAAUUUGUCGUGACGAUGCACUUUUCUGUAUAGUACAGUACAUUUUUGGCAUGUACCAUUACAGGCUUCAGUAUACGGUCGGGUUUGUUCUUCAAGGUGUAGCUUUAUAAUAAAUAUGAUAGUUCUGGA